UUAGAUAGGCACAUGGAAGAAAGUAAAAUGGUGGACUAUGUGGGAGGGGAGGGUUAGAUUGAUCUUGGAGUAGGUUAAAGGGUCCACACAACAUGUGUGAGGGAAAGGUCAGUACCGUGCUGAAUUGUUCUAUGUCAAAGAUAUUUUCGCUGCAUUGUUAUUCUUCAUUACUUGUAGAUCAGCAAGUCACUGCAGCAAGCACCAAGGACGUUCUGAGGGCUGGAUUACUAGGAAAGUCUGCAGUGGAAUACAUCCUAAAAAGCUCACUUUUGAAUGAUCCAAUUGAAUGAGUUACCAGCAGUGCAUUCCAUAAGACCAUAAAGGCUGAAUUAUACUUCUGCGUAUGGGCUAUGCUGUCGCCUACACGAUACUGUUUAUUGAUUGAGGAUUAUGAAGAAACCAUGAAAACUCCACUGGUGCUUAACAAUGUUACCUCCCAAAUGGAGACUCAUUGUCACGUAAUCUUCGUUCACCUAUAGCCUAUCAAUUGUAGCAUUGCUUCUUUAACCCAUCAGCUGAACAUGCACAACAUUCAAGACUGUGUGUAAGUGCUGCCAUCCAGUGGUGAAUUGUAGAUAUUGCCAGGCCUACCUUUAUGAAGUUCAAAGUUCAAUAGCACUGAGCAUCACCAUUCCUAACUUACAGUUUGGAAGCAAUAGAACAACAGUUACCUAUUUGAAGUAUCUGUCAAUUCCUGAACAAGGAUAACAAAUACUUCAGAGAACUGUUGUUCAAUUGCAAAAAUGACUGUUACAGAAAAUAUAAAUAAAGGUUGAUUCUGAAGGAACUUGAUUAAAAAGAUUGAACUGUC